UGGGGAAUAUUGGACAAUGGGGGGAACCCUGAUCCAGCCAUGCCGCGUGUGUGAAGAAGGCCUUAUGGUUGUAAAGCACUUUAAGUUGGGAGGAAGGGCAGUAAGCGAAUACCUUGCUGUUUUGACGUUACCGACAGAAUAAGCACCGGCUAACUCUGUGCCAGCAGCCGCGGUAAUACAGAGGGUGCAAGCGUUAAUCGGAAUUACUGGGCGUAAAGCGCGCGUAGGUGGUUCGUUAAGUUGAAUGUGAAAGCCCCGGGCUCAACCUGGGAACUGCAUCCAAAACUGGCGAGCUAGAGUAGGGCAGAGGGUGGUGGAAUUUCCUGUGUAGCGGUGAAAUGCGUAGAUAUAGGAAGGAACACCAGUGGCGAAGGCGACCACCUGGGCUCAUACUGACACUGAGGUGCGAAAGCGUGGGGAGCAAACAGG
rnacentral:rRNA from 1 species